rfam:Neotoma lepida isolate 417 scaffold_926, whole genome shotgun sequence.
GUACUUAACUUGGCAAGGGAGAUUCCAGGAUCAUGAAGAUGGUUUCCCCAGGGCGAGGUUCCUUUAUUAUACUUGGGAUGUGUUGGCCCCUAUGAUUUCUCCAAAUUCUAGAAACUUGACUGUAUAAUUUGUGGUAGUGGGGUUCUGCAUUCUUGCUACCCUUUC